UACAGAGGGGGCAAGCGUUGUUCGGAAUUACUGGGCGUAAAGGGCGCGUAGGCGGCCUGUUAAGUCGGACGUGAAAUCCCUCGGCUCAACCGGGGAACUGCGUCCGAUACUGGCGGGCUUGAAUUCGGGAGAGGGAUGUGGAAUUCCAGGUGUAGCGGUGAAAUGCGUAGAUAUGUGGAGGAACACCUGUGGCGAAGGCGCCUUGCUGGCCAAUUUCUGACGCUGAGGCGCGAAAGCGUGGGGAGCAAACAGG
rnacentral:rRNA from 1 species